UUCCGAUCGCGCUGCACUGUACAGCGUGACACGGUUUUAAUGUGUAAGUUCCUCCAUCGUUCAAUUUUCAUCCAUGGAGAUCCCUGAUUGAUAAAUUGAUGUGGAUGGACAUAAACAUGCAACAUAGCUGCACUGGUAAGUGCCAUCAUUGCAAAAUGUUUCGAGUAUAAAGUGUUGUCUAUAAUCUUAACAAAUAUUAUGCAGCAAAAACUGACAAUUAUAAGUCAUAUUUAGACAAAACAUGUUUCGAAAUUAUUUGGUAUCUUUGACAAACUUUAAUUAUAUGUCAAUAUUAUAUAUAUAUAUUAUAUAUACAAAAAGAUGAACAAAAAAAACGAAGAUAGAAACAAAUUUGAAUACAAUUUUGAGAAAUAAAAUACAAGUUUGUAGAAUUUUUAAAGUCUUUUAGGAAAUAGAUAUGAUAAGGGGAAUGAAAAUGACCUAUAUUCAAUACAUAUCUGUUUAAUAUGUCAAAAGUAAUUUUAUUACUUAAAGAUAAUCAAAAUAUUUUGAUAAUUUAUUUUUUGCUGAGAUUGGUGACAAUCAAACAGAUCUUUUUUAUUAUUGAAUUCAAAGCAUGCCUAGCAAGAAGUAAGUGAAAAUGAAUAUGAUUACUAUCAACUAAAAAUAUCAGUAAGAACAACCGUUUUCUAAGGCUAUAAGUUUGUUUUUUUUUUAUGCCCCAUUUAUGGACAAUAGGUUUUCUGGUCUGUGUGUCUCUUCGUCUGUUCAUUCGUUCGUUGGUUCGUCUGUCUGGUCUGCUUCAGGUUAAAGUUUUUGGUCAAGGGAAAUUUCGAUUAGGUUGAAGUCCAAUCAACUUGAAACUUAAUACGCAUGUUCCCUAUGAUAUGAUCUUUCCAAUUUUAAUGCCAAAUUAGAGCUUUUACCACAUUUUCACGGUCCACUGAACAUAGAAAAUGAUAGUGCAGAUCCGUGUACUAGAGACACAUUCUUGUUAGUAAAUUAAAUGUUAUUUGUAUGAUUUAUUUCUAUAGUUACAACCAUUACUGUACAGUGUAUCAUAUUUUUAUGGCAACAUUUGUAGAACAUGUAGAACCACGUGUAGUUUAUUUAUAUUUUGAAUAAACAGUUUUACCUAA
rnacentral:lncRNA from 1 species